AUGAUUUCUGCACUGGUGACUGAAGCCCUCUGCUUAUCCACAGAAUAGAUGGAAAGGCACCAGUAAUGCAAGCGCCCCAUGAUCCCUCUUUUAUGCCCUGGAGCAUCUCACUCUAUGCAUGAGAGGACAGUCCAGUCUCCAUGGCCCAUUCAGUCCUUGGCCUCU
rnacentral:sRNA from 1 species